CAGGUUACAACGUAUCAAGGAAUAAGGCGCAAUUGUGUCAGCCAGCUGUCAAGUAUUUAGGAUUCCAUAUCUCUGAAGGUCAAAGAACAAUGGGACCUGAAAGAAAAGAAGCAGUGUGUCGAAUACCUGUACCCAUGAAUAGAAGACAAGUGCAAGAAUUCUUGGGAGCAGCAGGAUUCUGUAGGAUAUGGAUUCCUAAUUAUGUGAUAUUGGCGAAACCCUUGUAUGAAGCUUUAAAAGGC